UACGUAGGGUGCGAGCGUUAAUCGGAAUUACUGGGCGUAAAGCGAGCGCAGACGGUUAAUUAAGUCAGAUGUGAAAUCCCCGAGCUUAACUUGGGAAGUGCAUUUGAAACUGGUAGACUAGAGUGUGUCAGAGGGAGGUAGAACUCCACGUGUAGCAGUGAAAUGCGUAGAGAUGUGGAAGAAUACCGAUGGCGAAGGCAGCCUCCUGGGAUAACACUGACGUUCAUGCUCGAAAGCGUGGGUAGCAACAGG
rnacentral:rRNA from 1 species